CUGGGUUUGAGGUGGUCUCCUGGGCAGCACUCCAAGCACUUGUGGGCUGCGGCAACUCUUUAUUGUGGACAUUCCCCUUAGCUGGCCUGCCCUCAACUGACUUCUCAGUGCAGAGCCAUCACUACUCACAGUUAAGGUUCAUUCGGAGAUGUGAGGCGUCAAGAGGUGGAGCUACGAGAAGAGCGCGUGAGACAUAAUAGUUUUGUCUCAUUGCGCUUUCCUAUCAGCCAACGAGCCUUGACAACGCACUGAAACCCAGAUGACUGCGUUUGACAUUUGCCAAGAAACACUCUCUUGCGGAAGUACAAAUAAUAAACGACCAAUCCUGGAGCUUCCGAGAGUCCAGCGUCCACGCCCCUGAUGCUGACCAGGCCGACUGCCAGACUGAUGAACUCCAGGAUGCCUUGGGAUCAAACAUGCACACCGGUCAGGAGGACGUACUGGACUGUGCGCACGCACAAAGAGACGUCACGUCUGUGUGCUUACGCGUUGAAGUUGGUAUUUUGGUGGUUCUUUAUAUGCUCACAAAUCCAGCAAAUCCUUCUUGUGAUCUCUACGUGGAUCUCUGAGACACUAAGUUCUUACAUUAUGGAGGCAGCUCCAGAAAAUGAGAUUGUUUUUGAUAGAAUCAAUCGGAAUAUGUAAUCAGUAAU